ensembl:rRNA 5S_rRNA 5S ribosomal RNA
GUCUAGGGCCACUUCACUCUGAAUGCUCUCGAUAUCUUCUGAUCUCGGAAGCUAAGCAGGGUCGGGCCUGGAUAGUCCUUGGAUAGGAGAAGUGUGGCUACUACAUAAUAGGUGCUCAAAAUG